UAUAAAGUUUUGACUCUUCAUCUUAUUUAAAUUCUUUUUGCCAUUACUAUUUUUAUUGUUACUAGAUGAUAAAACAUGAAUACUACUUUAUGUGUGAUAAUUUUUUUAAAUUUUGCACGGAAUUUUCAAAUAAGACGAAUGGUUAAACUUUGGACA
rnacentral:pre_miRNA from 1 species